UUCAAAAAAAUAUAAUAUAAGCAAUUUACCUUAAUACAAAGAUCAGUGACUGAUUUCACUAUUUGAAUUCGUAAUGAUUAAAAGAAAAAAAAUACAUAUUUGUGAUGAAAUAUUUAUGACGAAUUUUUUGUCACAAAUUUGUGAUAGUCACUACACGAGAACAUGCGUUUGGCUAGGACAAAUUUUUGUUUAAACAAAUAAAGUUCGUACUCUUUCUAAUAUAGCUUAAACUUUUAGAUGAAAUGGUCACAUAGUUGAAUAUGAUAUCAGGACAGAUGAGAUGUCCUAGACUUCAGUCUCGCUGUCACGCAUUAUCAAAAAGAACUUACACGGGCUAGAAUCAUAAAAGAAAAUCAAAC
rnacentral:lncRNA from 1 species